rnacentral:rRNA from 1 species
AUUGAACGCUGGCGGAAUGCUUUACACAUGCAAGUCGAACGGCAGCACGGACUUCGGUCUGGUGGCGAGUGGCGAACGGGUGAGUAAUACAUCGGAACGUGCCCAGUCGUGGGGGAUAACGUAGCGAAAGCUACGCUAAUACCGCAUACGAUCUAAGGAUGAAAGCGGGGGAUCGCAAGACCUCGCGCGAUUGGAGCGGCCGAUGGCAGAUUAGGUAGUUGGUGGGGUAAAGGCCUACCAAGCCGACGAUCUGUAGCUGGUCUGAGAGGACGACCAGUGACACUGGGACUGAGGCACGGCCCGGACUCCUACGGGAGGCAGCAGUGGGGAAGUUUGGACGAGGGGCGCAAGCCGGAUCCAGCCAUUCCGCGUGAAGGAUGAAGGCCCUCGGGUUGGAAACUGCUUUUGUACGGAACGAAAAGGCUCUGGUUAAUACCCGGGGCUCAUGACGGUACCGUAAGAAUAAGCACCGGCUAACUACGUGCCAGCCGCCGCCGUAA